UACAGGGGGGGCAAGCGUUGUUCGGAAUUACUGGGCGUAAAGGGUCUGUAGGUGGCCAACUAAGUCAGACGUGAAAUCCCUCAGCUUAACUGGGGAACUGCGUCUGAUACUGGAUGGCUUGAGUGUGGGAGAGGAAUGCGGAAUUCCAGGUGUAGCGGUGAAAUGCGUAGAUAUCUGGAGGAACACCGGUGGCGAAGGCGACAUUCUGGACCAUAACUGACACUGAGAGACGAAAGCCAGGGGAGCAAACGGG
rnacentral:rRNA from 1 species